AUUGAACGCUGGCGGCAGGCCUAACACAUGCAAGUCGAGCGGAUGACGGGAGCUUGCUCCUUGAUUCAGCGGCGGACGGGUGAGUAAUGCCUAGGAAUCUGCCUGGUAGUGGGGGACAACGUUUCGAAAGGAACGCUAAUACCGCAUACGUCCUACGGGAGAAAGCAGGGGACCUUCGGGCCUUGCGCUAUCAGAUGAGCCUAGGUCGGAUUAGCUAGUUGGUGGGGUAAUGGCUCACCAAGGCGACGAUCCGUAACUGGUCUGAGAGGAUGAUCAGUCACACUGGAACUGAGACACGGUCCAGACUCCUACGGGAGGCAGCAGUGGGGAAUAUUGGACAAUGGGCGAAAGCCUGAUCCAGCCAUGCCGCGUGUGUGAAGAAGGUCUUCGGAUUGUAAAGCACUUUAAGUUGGGAGGAAGGGCAGUAAGUUAAUACCUUGCUGUUUUGACGUUACCGACAGAAUAAGCACCGGCUAACUCUGUGCCAGCAGCCGCGGUAAUACAGAGGGUGCAAGCGUUAAUCGGAAUUACUGGGCGUAAAGCGCGCGUAGGUGGUUUGUUAAGUUGGAUGUGAAAGCCCCGGGCUCAACCUGGGAACUGCAUCCAAAACUGGCAAGCUAGAGUACGGUAGAGGGUGGUGGAAUUUCCUGUGUAGCGGUGAAAUGCGUAGAUAUAGGAAGGAACACCAGUGGCGAAGGCGACCACCUGGACUGAUACUGACACUGAGG
rnacentral:rRNA from 1 species